rnacentral:snRNA from 1 species
AUACUUACCUGCAGGGGAGAUUACCAUGAUCACGAAGGUGGUUUUCCCAGGGCGAGGCUUAUCCAUUGCACUCCGGAUGUGCUGACCCCUGCGAUUUCCCCAAAUGCGGGAAAACUCGACUGCAUAAUUUGUGGUAGUGGGGACUGCGUUCGCGCUCUCCCCU